rnacentral:rRNA from 1 species
AGAUUGAACGCUGGCGGCAUGCCUAACACAUGCAAGUCGAACGGGAGUAGCAAUACUCUAGUGGCGGACGGGUGAGGAAUACGUAGGAAUUUGCCCUUAAGUGGGGGAUAACCCGGGGAAACCCGGAUUAAUACCGCAUGACCUCGAAAGAGCAAAGUGGGGGAUCGCAAGACCUCACGCUUUUGGAGAAGCCUACGUCGGAUUAGCUAGUUGGUGAGGUAAUGGCUCACCAAGGCGACGAUCCGUAACUGGUCUGAGAGGAUGAUCAGUCACACCGGAACUGAGACACGGUCCGGACUCCUACGGGAGGCAGCAGUGGGGAAUAUUGGACAAUGGGCGCAAGCCUGAUCCAGCAAUGCCGCGUGUGUGAAGAAGGCCUUCGGUUGUAAGCGACUUUAAGUUAGGAAGAAAAACGUACGACUACUAAACACAAGUGUAGUCGUUAGACGGUACCGAC